GGAAUAUUGGACAAUGGGCGAAAGCCUGAUCCAGCCAUGCCGCGUGUGUGAAGAAGGUCUUCGGAUUGUAAAGCACUUUAAGUUGGGAGGAAGGGCAGUUACCUAAUACGUGAUUGUCUUGACGUUACCGACAGAAUAAGCACCGGCUAACUCUGUGCCAGCAGCCGCGGUAAUACAGAGGGUGCAAGCGUUAAUCGGAAUUACUGGGCGUAAAGCGCGCGUAGGUGGUUUGUUAAGUUGAAUGUGAAAUCCCCGGGCUCAACCUGGGAACUGCAUCCAAAACUGGCAAGCUAGAGUAUGGUAGAGGGUAGUGGAAUUUCCUGUGUAGCGGUGAAAUGCGUAGAUAUAGGAAGGAACACCAGUGGCGAAGGCGACUACCUGGACUGAUACUGACACUGAGGUGCGAAAGCGUGGGGAGCAAACAGGAUUAGAUACCCCUG
rnacentral:rRNA from 1 species